rnacentral:rRNA from 1 species
AUUGAACGCUGGCGGCAGGCCUAACACAUGCAAGUCGAGCGGAUGAAGGGAGCUUGCUCCUGGAUUCAGCGGCGGACGGGGGAGUAAUGCCUAGGAAUCUGCCUGGUAGUGGGGGAUAACGUCCGGAAACGGGCGCUAAUACCGCCUACGUCCUGCGGGAGAAAGUGGGGGAUCUUCGGACAUCACGCUAUCAGAUGAGCCUAGGUCGGAGUAGCUAGUUGGUGGGGUAAAGGCCUACCUAGGCGACGAUCGGUAACUGGACUGAGAGGAUGAUCAGUCACAUUGGAGCGGGGACACGGUCCAGAGUCCUACGGGAGGCAGCAGUGGGGAAUAUGGGGCAACGGGCGAAAGCCUGAUCCAGCCAGGCGGCGUGUGUGAAGAAGGUCUUCGGAUUGUAAAGCACGUUAAGUUGUGAGGAAGGGCAGUAAGUUAAUACCUUGCUGUUGUGACGUUACCAACAGAAGAAGCACCGGCUAACUUCGUG